rnacentral:rRNA from 1 species
UCCGCAUACCAGUGAAAAAUGCCCUAACAGUCUAAACGGAGCAGGUAUCAGGCACAGACACUAGCCAAAGACACUAAGCUUUGCCACACCUACACAGGCCCCAGCAGUAAUAAACAUUAAGCAAUAAGCGACACUUAAACUAAAAGCUUGACUUAGUUAUGAUUAAUAGGGCUGGUCAACCUCGUGCCAGCCACCGCGGUUAUACGAGAAGCCCAAAGCAGCAGACCUCCGGCGUAAAUAGUGGUUAGAAUACUAUGCCUAAACCUUAAAACUAAACCGCUGCCUAACCGUAAAACACAGGCAUAAUGAAACCAAACACUUUUAACCACAAGGCAAUUUGAUCCACGAAAACUAAGAAACAAACUAGGAUUAGAUACCCUACUAUGCUUAGUCGUUAAUAUGGUAUUAUACCACACAAAUACCCGCCAGAAAAUUACGAGCGAAAAGCUUAAAACUCAAAGGACUUGGCGGUGCUCCAUACCGACUUAGAGGAGCCUGUCCUAUAAUCGAUACUCCACGCUAAACCUCACCAAUCUUUGCACACUCAGCCUAUAUACCGCCGUCGUAAGCCUACCUCAUGAGAGAUAAGCAGUAGACUCAACAGCCACACACUAAAACGUCAGGUCAAGGUGUAGCUAAUAGGUUGGAAGAGAUGGGCUACAUUUUUUAAAAUAAAACAAACGACAUGGUACUAUGAAAUCUAUUACCUGAAGGAGGAUUUAAUAGUAAAACUAACAAGAAAGUUAAUUUUAAACCCG